GGAUGAGCCCGCGGCCUAUCAGCUUGUUGGUGAGGUAGUGGCUCACCAAGGCGACGACGGGUAGCCGGCCUGAGAGGGCGACCGGCCACACUGGGACUGAGACACGGCCCAGACUCCUACGGGAGGCAGCAGUGGGGAAUAUUGCACAAUGGGCGAAAGCCUGAUGCAGCGACGCCGCGUGAGGGAUGACGGCCUUCGGGUUGUAAACCUCUUUCAGCAGGGAAGAAGCGAAAGUGACGGUACCUGCAGAAGAAGCGCCGGCUAACUACGUGCCAGCAGCCGCGGCCG
rnacentral:rRNA from 2 species